CCAAGCAUACAAUGAAUUCAAGUUAGUGUGUUCCAGAGAUUAUGCAAUCUCAUUCCAACCUACUUUCUUCAUUUCCAUCAGCGACUUAGAAAUCUAGCACAGCUCUGUGGAGCCCUCGUUUCAUGUUAAGCCGUUAGCCAUGCUUUGGCUUUCCAGUAUUUGGUUCCAGGGAGCAAAUAUGCUGUAGGAUCAUGUGAAAGAUGCAUGUUUUCACAGACUCACAUCCAACACACAUUCAAAAUCUGAGAUGUGGGAGAAAGAGGCAGUGAGCCAAUGGGUACACAUCCUUGUCUGGGCCAAGGAUGGGGGCCAGCUUUUAUUUUGAAGGAGAGUCUUUUAAAAAGACUAAAUAAAGGAAAUAGAAGAAAAUGUUGGUUUUAUGGAUAUAUAUGGUUAUUAUACCCAUUACAACUACUGUCACAUUUCCUUUUUUACAUCUUCCUAAACUUGUGCUGAGACAGUAAUUUUUUUUAUUAUUAUUAACAUGGAACUUUUUCCCGGACUCCCAUCAACCAGAGAUGCCCUGAGUGUAGAGAAGACACUGUACAAUACAGGUCCCCGAUGUUCUGUGGGAUGUGCUUGCUGCAGUGUUCCUCUGCAUGGCUGACUCCAUGUCCUCAACCCGGAUCCCCUCAUCUGAGAAGUCCAGUUGCCUGUCAAGCUCUUCCUCUGCAGAGCCCCAGUGCAAGCGGAAUUCAUCAUCCAAAACCCCAAACACGAUAAAGCCUCCUCUAAGGACAUUGAAAGUGCAUUCUAGCAGAUAAGAACUCUGGCCUUUUCUGUUCUGGGAACCUUAAGUAGUCACACCAGCCCAUUACGUCUUAAAUGUUGCCUGUGGCCCGGGAACAAUGAGCCUGAGACCCAGGAGCUGAAGCAGUAGGCAGCCUGCCAAGUUCAACACCCGGCCAGUCUGCAGAGCAGAGCCUGCUGGGGGCUGCUUCCGGCUCUGCCUGAGAUGCGGAGCAAAGAUUUCCAUCCUGGCUUUCCGCAUGCACGUUCCACAGAGAAGGCCUGGACCAGCGAUGACCUGCUUUGACAUUUUCCAUGACGCCCUUUAUUUUGUUUUGUUUUCUGUUUGAUAGUGUAACUUCGGGUUUCUUUUUUUGUAACAAUCACUUGGCAAGGAUUACUCUUAGAUGUCAUGGGGGAGUCACCAGAUGCAGCUGGAUUCUCCCUUGGGCAGAUGCCUCGUAAAUGGGGCUUCAUGGGAAUUUACUGGAUUAUUUGUGAAGGAACCCUUUGUUGCACAGCCGUUGGUCAAGACUGGCCCUUGCUUGUGGAAUUGAAAGAAGCUGCAGUGGAGCCUUAUGACAAUGUAUUAUCAUAAGGGAUUAAAAAUUAUAUUAAAAAAAUGGAAAUCCGGGGGACUGGAGAGAUGGCUCGGUGGUUAAGAGCUCUUCACUGCUCUAGUGGAGCCUUCUGUUAACCUCCAGCUCCUAGAGCCCUGCCACCCUGUUCUUAACUCUGUGGAUACCUGCACUCACCUACACACAUAUACAGAUACAUAUACACAGAUAUUUAAAAGUAAAUCUUAGAAAAUGAAACUACAUAUUGCUUUAUCUCCAUUUUUAAAAAUCCUUAUAAAGUGCUGUGUUUCUCUCUUGCAUUUGCCUUCAUUGGAGACUCAUAACGAGUAUUUAAAGCAACCAAACUCAACCGCUAACGACUGCCUUCUUUAGUGCACUUGGUGGCAAAUGACCUGUAUUGAGCAUCCGGUAGAUCAGUUUUUCAUCCAGUUCUUAACCCACAUCAGUGUGUUUUCAUGUUGGAGGACAUACAGGGGCAUGUCCCUACUGUGUGGCAGGCAGUCUCCAAUACAUUGUCCUCUGGAAGGAGGGGGGGUGGUAGAGGUUAAGAUCAGUUUGGACCUUUUGGACCUUGCCUAAUUUCUUUUAUGCAUGCAUAACAUGGAUUCCACUUGGUUUGUGGCAAUGCUCCAGGCCUGCCCAGGGUGCUUACUAACAAGACUUUAUUUCCACUGGGACAUGUUUGGUAUAUUUCCAGAAAGUUCUUUACUAUGAAGACUCAGUGAGUUUUCUGGGAGACAUGAUUGUUGACUUUCACCAGGAGCCAAAGCCUCCUCCUUCUGUUGCCUGAGCUUGGAAAAGAGGUAGUAUGAUUCUGCCUUAAAACAUGAGUAGGACUUGUGCCUAUGCAGUUUAAAUGAUAUUUUAUUGACUGUUUUAUUUAUCACUCCAUUUUCUAAACUACUGCAUAGAUGCAUUGGCUGGUAUCAAAACAUGUUUGCCCAAGACUAUUGAAGAGCCCACAUGUUUAUCAGUAGAGGAAUCCUCACUCUAAUACGCCUAUACAAUGGAAUAUUAUACAGAUAUAAAGAGAAGUGAAGAGUGAUUUAUUCAUAUGCCGCUAUGGAAGAUUAUUAGAAUGUGUUGUUAAUAUUUAAAGAUGUGAUUAUAAAAAUUCAAAAUGAAAUGAAAGAACUAAACCUAAUUUUGCAUUAAGUUGAUGACAAAUCCACUCAGGGAAGAAACUUUUCAAGUGACCUUAGACCAUGAGAAUUAAACUGAGUGUGGUGGUACAUGCCUUUGGUCCCAGAAUUUAGGAGAUGGAAACAGGAAGGAAGAUCAGAAGUUCAAGAUCAGCCCAGGCUAGUUGGGACCCUGGCUCAAAAAAGCAACAACAGCAUAAAUAAGUAAAACAAGAUUAAUAAAUAAAUAAACAAAUAACAAAAAUGAGAUCCUAAGUAUGGGUUAUGUUCUUAGAACAAAAGGGAAAUAACAAUAAUAAAAACUGCACAAAGUUUCAAUCCUUUCCAGUAAUUAUAUUAUUCAAAGUGUUACUUUUGUUCUUGAGACUGUUGGAUGCGUUUCAUGGGGUAAAACAUGUAAUGAGCAUCCUAUGAGCAGGGAUUCUGAGAAGGGUGGAGGUGGACCUGAGGUCCAGGAAAAACAGAGUGACUGCAGCCCACAGCGGGUGUCUAUUAGCCCUCUCACCUCUCUAUAUUGUCAUCCCCUUCCCAGAUGCUGGGACCUAAGAAAUUGUAUGUGUGAAGAUUGAGGGAGUAGAAAUCUACCCUGAAGAUCUCAUAUUAUUGGCAAAAACAGAUUUUAUUGUGAAAACAAAGCAAGUUUAUUAGAAACCUUUGCUUGCUUGUUUUUUGUUUUUUGUUUUUAAUUUCAAGUAGAAAAUUUGUCUGGGAUGUGGCUCUGUAGCUGUCUUGCUGAGAGUUUAUCUGCAAAGAGGUGUUCCUUGCUAUGCACUCUCUACAACCCACCACUUCCUCCUGCAUCCUCGGGACUGGGCUCAGUUUGGCUCUACAUUGCCCCAUGGGGGGGGUAUAUUUAGGAGGUGACUGCAGCUAAGUUUGCUUGCCUUGCAAGGGUGGGUGCUCUUCCUGAGUAAGGCGCCGUGAUUGAAUUUAUAUAUUUUUAUGGCUGCAGGCUUAUUUCCUGAUUUUCCAGAGUUAAAGAAAUGAUUCAAAAUAAUAAACUUCCUUCUCUUCUUUUGAUUGAAUCUGUGGUGGUAAUAAAAUAAAGAACAGCUGGGCAGGGUGUCAGCAACGACUAACUUCUGGCCUACUGUGGAUGACAAUAACCCCUCUACUGCAAGAAAAUGAAGCCUUCUUUGUGGCAGACACUCACCUAACCCUUGCAUUGUCCAUGAUGACCCAUAGAGUGUUAAGCCCACAGACUUGAGACCAGGAGAUGCAAUCCAGUAGCAGAAUGCCUCAGCUAUGUGGUCUCACUUGUACUCCACUCUGCAGGCUCCAUGGAUACCACUGUAUCUGAAGAAAAUGUUUAUAGAAAAAGAGGUGCCUGAUCACAAAUUUAUAUGCUCUUUCCUUCUCGCUGUUCCUGAAACAGAAAUGGCUUGCAUUUUCAUCGUUUUCACUGGUCAUCCAGAAAGGGCGUAAAGCACGUGGUGGGAUAUACAUGGUUGCAUGCAGAGACUUAAACAACUAAGGACUUGCUGGCUGUAAGGAGCCAGGGAACCUGUCCCUCAGCCACCGAGCCAAUGAAGACCUGCCUGACAGCAAUCCCUGGACACCCUGGAAAGAAAAUGGGCCACACCUCCUCCACUGCCCUGGAUCCAACUUGCUCCAUUUCAACUGACACUCCCACCAGAGCUUCCAGUACUGACUUCAAUCAAGUUGAGGAUUUCAAGUGAGAUCUUCAAUCAAGCGAAUCCCAUCUAACAUGGACUGGAUACAAUCCAUUCAAGACUUUCACUAUACUAACAUUUUCUUCCUACAGGACCCCACAAGGCUAUCGUUGUCCCAUUUCAGCAGGAAGUAACUUGGAGGAUGCUAUGCCCCCUUUCCCCAUUAUUGUCAUUUAGGAUAGUGUAUAUACCUAGUUAGGGAUAGCUUCCUAUUGUUUAUGGUUGGGAUUGGAAGGAGGUGUUCAAGCUUGGACACCUCUUUCAGAUAACUUUAGG
rnacentral:lncRNA from 1 species